rnacentral:lncRNA from 1 species
ACAAUGAAUAUACAAGUGAAUAUACAACUCUAUGUCACUUAUGCCUUGGCUUGAAAGCCAUAUAAUCUCUAAUCUCAACACCCCACCUCAAGUUGGAGGGGGAGACCACCUGCAACUUGAGCAACAAGGGAUGAAGCACAAUGCCAGAUAAAGGCUUUGUCAGAAGGUCAGCCAGCUAACGAGUAGUAGGGACAUGAAGCAAGUGAAUGAGGCCAUUCUGGAGCUGAUCGCGUACAAAGUGACAAUCCACUUCAAUGUGUUUGGUCCGUUCAUGAAAGAUAGGAUUCUUAGCUAUGUGAAUAGCAGCCUUGCUGUCACAAUACACAGAAAAAGGAAGAGAAACAGAAAACCCAAGGUCUAGAAAAUAAACGAGACAACCAAGACAAUACUGCAACAACCUUACUGAGGGACAUGUAUUCAGCUUCAGUAGAAGAUAAAGAAACCACUGGCUGUUUCUUAGACUUCCAGCUAAUCGGGCAACCACCCAGAAUAAUACAGAACCCAGUAACAGAUCUUCGAGUAUCAGGGCAUGCAGCCCCGUCACUAUCAGAAUAACCAAUAACAGAGAAAUUAUUGCAGUAAGAAUAAAAGAGACCCAUAGAAGAGGUACCUUUAAGAUAUCUCAGUACAUGAAGGGCAGCAGUCAUAUGUGGAAGUCUGGGGCAUUUGAGAAACUGACUCAGAUAUUGCACAGCAAAACAGAUGUCAGGCCUAGUAUGAGUCGGAAAUAAGAGUUUACCAACAAGACUUACUGACUCAGAUGUUACACAGCAAAAUAGAUGUUAGGCCUAGUAUGAGUCAGAAAUAAGAGUUUACCAACAAGACUCUUAUACUGAUCAGGAGAAGACAAAAGGUCACCAGAAUCAGCAUGUAAUUUUGCAUUAAUGUCCAGAGGACAAACAACAGAAGAGACAUUGACACAGUCAAACUGUUGCAGCAAAUCAGAAAUAUAUUUGUGCUGAUUAAGGAUCAUCCCUCCAGGAACAACUGACAUCUCUAUGCCUAAAAAAUAAUGUAAGGACCCUAGGUCCCUAAUUUUGAACUGAUCAUCCAGAAACAGUUUCAGGGCAUCAAUUUCAUCACAGUCAUCCCCAGNNNN